UCCCGCUUAGCUCAGUGGUAGAGCGCGUCACUAGUAACUCUAAUUGCUUACAGAAUGCUUAUGUAAGCUUAUGUAAUGACGAGGCCACUUGUUCGAGUCAGGUAGUGGGAA